GAUGAACGCUAGCUACAGGCUUAACACAUGCAAGUCGAGGGGAAACGACAGUAAAGCUUGCCUUAUUGGGCGUCGACCGGCGCACGGGUGCGUAACGCGUAUCCAACCUGCCCCCAACUCCGGAAUAGUCCCCCGAAAGGGGGGUUAACGCCGGAUGCUGCAAUUUUUCCGCAUGGUGAAAUUGCGAAAUGAAAAAGGUUGGGGCUGGGGAUGCGUCCCAUUAGGUAGUAGGCGGGGUAACGGCCCACCUAGCCGACGAUGGGUAGGGGUUCUGAGAGGAAGGUCCCCCCACAUUGGAACUGAGACACGGUCCAAACUCCUACGGGAGGCGGCAGUGAGGAAUAUUGGUCAAUGGGCGAGAGCCUGAACCAGCCAAGUAGCGUGUGGGAAGAAUGCCCUAUGGGUUGUAAACCACUUUUGCAGGAGGGUAAAAUGCUUCACGUGUGGAGUAUUGCAAGUAUCCUGCGAAUAAGGACCGGCUAAUUCCGUG
rnacentral:rRNA from 1 species